UACGUAGGGUGCAAGCGUUGUCCGGAAUUAUUGGGCGUAAAGAGCUCGUAGGCGGUUCGUCGCGUCGGCUGUGAAAACCCGGAGCUCAACUCCGGGCCUGCAGUCGAUACGGGCGGACUUGAGUGUUGCAGGGGAGACUGGAAUUCCUGGUGUAGCGGUGAAAUGCGCAGAUAUCAGGAGGAACACCGGUGGCGAAGGCGGGUCUCUGGGACGGUACUGACGCUGAGACGCGAAAGCGUGGGGAGCGAACAGG
rnacentral:rRNA from 1 species